GCAGAGGAGAAGGCCUGAGUGAUCCUUCAAACCCUAACGCUAAUUAAGAAAAACAUAAUAAUCAUCAGGUUCCAUGACGGAUCAUAGCCCUCCUUGAAAUCUAUGGCACUAGAAUACCUUCGGUCAAGCCAUCAUCACUAUAAUCAUCACUAUAGUGCUUAAGAACCUCAUAAUGGUUUAAGAAAUCCGAUAAAACUUUCUAGAAAAUAAUGGUGUCCUUGUCUAACGAGAAUUCGUUGUAGUCGACUAGCAAAAUUUAAUUUGAGUAAAAAUAAAAAUAAAAAAUAAAAAUCAAUCAUUUUGCCUAUCGAUUUAGUGUUAAUAUCAUGUGCAACGUUUUCUAUCAGUAUAAUAAACGAUGUUAACAAAAUAAAAUAAAUUAUUUUACUUUCAUAAAUCCCCGUCUAAAUGUCUGAAGUACAUAUACCGCAGUACUAAAAAGGUCAAUGAUCCCACCCCAUGUCAUAAUUACGAAUCCCCUCUCCCUCUCAGGCUAUAAAUUGGCCCUCCCCCAAGGUAUCAAGCAAUUCCCGCGAUCGAGCGCGUCUCCUCUUUAGCCAUUUUUAGCGUUCUGGACUUCCCCUAGGGUUUCCUUCUUCCACCCUCCUCUUCAGAAGGGUGAUCUAGAUCCAGGAGCACUUCGAGAAUUUUUAUCAGGGUGUUUUUGAGGAGCUAAGCAAGUUCAGAAAAAUUGAAAGCCUAAAUGUUUGUGACAAUCUGGCUGAUCAUUUGGUUGGUAAUGUAUAUGCUAAAUUCAGGGAUGAGGAUGAUGCUGCAAAUAUACUAGUCAACCUGAAAGGAAGAUAUUAUGACGGUGGUUUAAUAUUUAGGUGUUUUAUCUCAUGCUUAAUGCAUUUUGUCUCUUGUUUGUUAGUCUAUUACUUGUAUAUCAUAUAAUCUUUUUUCCUUUUUCUCAAAUGGGGAUUUGUUAGAACCCUUGCAUAUUCUAAACUUGGGGUUGAUCUCUUUAGGGGAUCGACCUCCUUGGAACUCUAUAGGGGUUCCUCCCUCUAAGUUGCUGCUCAAAGGCUGUAGAAAAGAUUCAUCUAUUGUUUAUGAAAAUAGGUGGAAUAUAUGACUAUUUAUAGGGCUUCUAA